GCCAUACUCCUACUUUAUUCAUCAUUAUUUAAUAUUUCUCAAUUUUUUAAACCCUUAAUCAUCAACUCCUCUUUUAUUAUUAAUUUUUUAUUAUUUUAAACUCCUUUUUUUAUAUAAUAUUAUUACUUUAUCUAACGAAUAAUCACCUUCUAACUCCUUUCCAUCAUCCUCUUUAAUACGUAUUUUUCAAUCUUUAAUAUGAAUCACUUGGAUUAAAGAUUUCUUAUGCUGGGUAAUAAGUAAGAUGUGAAAUAAUGUAGCUUAAAUAAAGAAAUGAAUUUGAAAAUGUUAAUAUGGAGUGUGGGAGAGGUAGGUGGAAUUAUUGGUGUAGGGGUAAAAUAAGUAGAGAUAAAGAGGAAUAAUAAUUGAGAAGGAGAAAUGAUGGAAAAUUAAUGAAGAUGAUGAAAGAAAGAGUGGGGAGAAAAAAGGAUUAGAUAAAAAUGUA
rnacentral:rRNA from 1 species